rnacentral:lncRNA from 1 species
GAAGAAUCUAAUCCCAUGAGCCCUUUUUAUAACAGCAUUAGUCCAUUCAAAAGGGCUUGAAAGAGACAAGCCUCUGGGGCUAAACACAUCCCAUUAUGCCCCGCCUCCAACACUGUUGCAUUGGGGAUCAAGUCUCCAGCACAUUAAUUUCUGUGGCACAUAUUCUAACCAUAGCAAUCUACUUUUACCUUUAUGAAGUAGCUAUUGUUAUAAACAAUGUUCAGGUAAAGGCAGCAAAGCCACAGUCUAUUCAGUGUUUAGACAAUCAGCAGGCUUGCUUGCUGGGACAGAUCUGAGCUGAGAGAGAACCAGACGGAAGAACACUGACUUAGAGAGCAAAACGUCCGGCUUCUUGGCCUUGCUAUACUACUAAAUUGCUGUCUGACCUUGGGCAAAUUACUGUCCCUCAGAUUCUUUACUUAAAAAAUGAACAGAUAGGCUGAUAUGGAAUUUAAGGGUAGGAAACUAGUAGCCUGUAGGCUAAAUAAAGUCAGAGAUUUGUCUGUGUGUUUGGGCCACCUUUAUUUAUUUAUUUAUUUACUUAGAUACUUUUAAGGAGGAGACAAGCACUCUCCUACAGACUGGGGUUCCUACCAUUCCCCUCAGGCCCCCACCUACAGUACCAACCUCCAAACCCUGGAGGCAUUUGAGUUUGCAACCUUUGGCUGCCAAUUUUAAACUCCAGGUGAAUAUGGAGCAAUUGCUGACUUACUUCCACUUAUGCUAAUGCUGACCAUUCAAAGACCUGUCCAGACAGAAAAGGGUCUUAGAUGGUAGUUGCCAGUCUACUCCAAGACAAAUUUCUGUUUCUCUGUCUAAUCCUCUUUUUAUAUGCUACCAUCUUGAAUUUCCAACAAAAACAACAGCACCAUAUCCUCCUGUAGGACCAAGGAAUAUUAAACUCAAAGGAAACUUAAAAAUAAUCUAUGCAGGGCAAACCUUCCAUUUUACAGAGAGGAAACCAACAAAAAUUGAGGGCGU